CGACAAAUGCCCAGACCGGAUGCGUCCACCUGCCGGACACGUUGGCCUUGUCGAGCGCCGCGAGCAGGUCCGCCGGCGUGUCGAUCCGGCGCACUGGCUCCGCCUGCACCUCGUUGCCCCUGGCAUCCGGCGGGCGGCCGGGCCACUGGCUUUCCGUCGCGCAGCAGCCGAGGUCGGGCCAGGUAUGGCUGUCGCUGCCGCUGGCCAUCAGCUUGCCGUGCUGCUUGGCCCAGUCAGCCGCGGCGGCGUUCCACUUCACGUUGCUGAUGCGCGCGUUGAACGUCUCGAUGAUGUCGAUGUCGGCGGCGAUCCGUUCGCGCGCGGCCGGACGCAGGCGAUGGCGCUU
rnacentral:misc_RNA from 1 species